UGGGGAAUUGUUCGCAAUGGGCGCAAGCCUGACGACGCAACGCCGCGUGGAGGAUGAAGACCUUCGGGUCGUAAACUCCUGUCGAAUGGGACGAAUGGUCUGGCCGUGAACAACGGCUGGAAAUGACGGUACCGUGAGAGGAAGCCCCGGCUAACUCCGUGCCAGCAGCCGCGGUAAUACGGGGGGGGCAAGCGUUGUUCGGAAUUACUGGGCGUAAAGGGCUCGUAGGUGGCCAAUUAAGUCCGACGUGAAAUCCCUCGGCUCAACCGGGGAACUGCGUCGGAUACUGGAUGGCUUGAAUCCGGGAGAGGGACGUGGAAUUCCAGGUGUAGCGGUGAAAUGCGUAGAUAUCUGGAGGAACACCGGUGGCGAAGGCGGCGUCCUGGACCGGAAUUGACACUGAGGAGCGAAAGCCAGGGGAGCAAACGGG
rnacentral:rRNA from 1 species